GUCCUAGCCUAACGAUGAAUACUUGGUGUCUGGAGUUUCAAGACUUCGGGUGCCGUCGCUAACGUUUAAGUAUUCCGCCUGGGAGUACGCUCGCAAGAGUGAAACUCAAAGGAAUUGACGGGACCCGCACAAGCGGUGGAGCAUGUGGUUUAAUUCGACGCAACGCGAAGAACCUUACCUGGACUAGAAUGUGAGGGGAUAUCGGGUAAAUGCCGGUAGUCCGGGAAACCGGACCCAAAACAAGGUGCUGCAUGGCUGUCGU
rnacentral:rRNA from 1 species